rnacentral:misc_RNA from 1 species
UUUCCGUUGGUGAACCAGCGGAGGGAUCAUUACAGGACUCGCAAGACUCCUUCACCCUGUGAACCUCACUACAAGCACGUUGCUUCGGCGGGUGUCCCGGCGGGGGUUUUCCCUCGCCGGGGCGCACGGCCCGCCGGAAGCCUACUAUACUCUGUCUCUUUGCGUUGGCAUCUCGAGAAAAAACAAACAAGUUAAAACUUUCAACAAAGGAUCUCUUGGUUCUG